GUGGCCCGGGUAGCUCCUGGCGGAGGUCGUACGGAGCCGCGCGCAGCCGGGGGGGCCGGGCUGCCUCGGCCGGGCUGGGGGGGGUGGUCCCGCUCUUCGGUGCCCCAGGGGCGCGGUAGCGGCGCCGUGCCGUGCCGGCUGGGCCUCCUCGAUAAGGGUGGCUGGGUGGGCCGCGCCGGCGCCGGGGGAGAGGCCUAGCCCGCGGGGCCCAGCUGAGGCAGGGCUGGCGCCAUCCCGGGGAAGGGGGCGCCGCAUAGGCCGCAGGCGGCCCCCGUGGCGGUGCCGCACAGUGAGGGACAGGAAGCCUCGCAGGCAGCCAGGCGGUGGGACAGCCAGCAGCAGCAAGGCCCCACCGCGGAGCUACUGCCCGCAGCUGGUGUAAAUCCUUGUAUUUACUGAAAGCACAUCCCUCGUAUCAGUUAUUCCUAAUACGGCGUCUCUUCCUCUUUGAAGUGUGACAUCGUAUUUCGUAUGUAUUCGGCUAAAUAAAUCAGAAAUUGCCCAGAGAUAAGGAACAGGAGCUAGGUGCGUGUUUCCCCGCUCACCACCACAAGAAUACAUUCAAAUGUCAUGAGUCACGUUUGGUUGGUCCUCAACACAAGAAAAAUAUCCAUUUCCAUUGGCUUACAAAUAGAGAAAGAAAUGACACACCCUUAAAAAGGCAAAGAUUGAACAAUAUUGUAAAAGGUGAGGACUCCAUCACUGUCUUCUCCCUGCACACUGGAGCCAGAAUGAAGAAAAGAAUGGGGAAACCCAUAGUCUGGCAUAUAACUUGACAUUCUAUGAAUUGCUGUGUACUCAUUUGUUGCUUAACCAUUUCAUGAGAGAAAUUAUCAUAGUGGAAAAAUAAUAUUCUGACUAGGUAACAGUGUAAGGUGGCUGAAAUGGUUGAAGGAUUGACUGGUGAGUUCAAGAUAUAUGCAUGACGGUACUUCUGCUGCAGCAGAAAAGAGGAAUGGUGACUGAGAUCUAUUACAUAAAAUUUUCUCAUUUCCUCUACUGAAUAAUGAACUUACCCUGUAUAAUAGUUUCUUCAUAACAUGAACAUAAUGUGUACUUCACAGUAUUCUUAACCAUGUACAAUUUAUUACUGUUUGUAGAGAUCUUUGAACUUCUUUGGUGAAAAGUAUAAGGUUUGUAUAAAACAUUAUUUUGUACUUAUGAAUAUUAAUGAUGUCACUUUUCAAACAACUGCUUAAGUUCUAUUUAAAAUUAAAAUACAUAAAACUUCA